rnacentral:rRNA from 1 species
UACAGAGGUCUCAAGCGUUUGUUCGGAUUCAUUGGGCGUAAAGGGUGCGUAGGUGGCGCGCUAAGUCGGGUGUGAAAUUUCGGAGCUUAACUCCGAAACUGCAUUCGAUACUGGCGUGCUUGAGGACUGGAGAGGAGACUGGAAUUCAUGGUGUAGCAGUGAAAUGCGUAGAGAUCAUGAGGAAGACCAGUGGCGAAGGCGGGUCUCUGGACAGUUCCUGACACUGAGGCACGAAGGCCAGGGGGAGCAAAACGGGG